rnacentral:rRNA from 1 species
GAUGAACGCUGGCGGCGUGCCUAAUACAGGCAAGUCGAGCGAACAGACGCGGAGCUUGUUCCUCUGACGUUAGCGGCGGACGGGUGAGUAACACGUGGAUACCCCACCUAUCAGACUGGGAUAACUUCGGGAAACCGGCGCUUAUACCGGAUAAUAUAUUUAACCGCAUGGUCUAAUAGUGAAAGACGGUUUUGCUGUCACUUCUAGCUGGAUCUGCGCCGCAUUAGCUAGUUGGUAAGGUAAAGGCUUACCACGGCAACGAUGCGUAGCCGACCGGGGAGAGUGAUCGGCGGCAUGAGAGCGCAGCCAGGGUCAAUACGCCUGCGGGAGGCAGCAGUAGGGAAUCUGCGGCAGUAGGCGAAAGUCUUGCGGAGCGACGCCGCGUGAGUGGUGAAGGUCUUCGGUUCGUAAAGCUCUGUUAUGAGGGAAGAACAAAUUUGUGAGGAACUAUGCACGUCGUGACGGUACCUGAUCAGAAAGCCACGGCUAACUACGUG